AUCCCUCAAUCCAAUCAAGUUGACACCUAAUAUUAACCAUCACACCAAUUAAAAAUAAAAUAAAGGUAAAAUGAAGAUACUUCAGGCAAGAAAAAACUUUGAAAAUGCAUUGCCAGUAGACCAACACUAAAAGAAGUAUUAAAGGAAAUGAUUCAAGAUAGAAACACGAAAAGGUAGAAAUAAAUGAGGAGUGCUGGGAAUGGUAAAUAUAUUGGUAUAUGGGUAAAUAUAAGUAAAUUCUGACAACUUAAACCAAAAGUAACAAUGUUCUCAGGAAAUUAAAAUAUAUGUAGAAUUAAAUACAUGAUAACGUAGCACAAAAAGCAGAAGGAGAGAAAUGGACUAAUGGUGUUGUACUAACAACACUUGCCAUGGUAACAUCCAAAACUAAACAGAAUGUAACAAGCCAACAAUGAGUAUUCUACUCUCUAGGGCAGGGGUUCCCAACCUCUGGGCCAUGGACAGGUAGCAGUCUGUGGCCUGUUAGGAACCAGGCCGCACAGCAGGAGUGUCCAUCAGAAGGCCCCUGCUGAGUAGUUGGCAGGGUGGCUGCACAUAAUGGAAAGCACAUAAGCUUGAAGCCAGACAGAUGGGAGUUCUAACCCCAGCCCUGCCACUUAUUCCCAGGUGACACUGAGUGGAAAUUAGGCCAAAAUAAAUACUACUUUCUGCUUAAAAAAAUGCAGUGAUGUCCAAAGAGAAGGGAGGAGGAAGGAUGAAAGGAAAGACAGAGGAGGAAGGAAGAGAAGAAAGAAGAGUGGCCGGCACAAGGGCUUGGAGAUCCCUGAAGCUGUUUUCCUUUCUCCUCACCCCCACAGGGAGGGAUCCACAUCGUUGUGGGGUUUUUGUUGUUGUUGUUUUUGUUUUUGUUUUUUUGCCUCCCUUCAUCAAAGCAUUCAUUGUAGUGUAUGGUAAUUGUCUCUGAAUGUAACAGCCUCUCUUCCCUGAGGCCUGGGUCUGCUUGUUUCAUACCAUCUUCUCCUUAACACACAGUGCUUGGUAAACAAUACCUAUUAAUAAACAUUUGUUGAAUGAAUGAAUGAGUGAAUGAACGAAUACUGCACUCUUUCGACUUGGUUAGAGACAUGUCUUGUAGGCUGGCAUGUACUUCACACAGCACUCUUAGGUAGAGUUUGUAUAUGUUAUUCCAUUGAAGGGAAAAGGAAGCCAGACUGUGGGGAGAAAAAAAAAAAAAAAAGACAUUCUGAAGAAGUAAAAACUACCCUUGUGGGUUUCAAAAAUGUCUGGGCUAUUAUGCCUGAAGCUGAAACAUCAGGUCAUAUUUACUUUUUC
rnacentral:lncRNA from 1 species